rnacentral:rRNA from 1 species
UACGAAGGGGGCUAGCGUUGCUCGGAAUCACUGGGCGUAAAGGGUGCGUAGGCGGGUCUUUAAGUCAGGGGUGAAAUCCUGGAGCUCAACUCCAGAACUGCCUUUGAUACUGAGGAUCUUGAGUUCGGGAGAGGUGAGUGGAACUGCGAGUGUAGAGGUGAAAUUCGUAGAUAUUCGCAAGAACACCAGUGACGAAGGCGGCUCACUGGCCCGAUACUGACGCUGAGGCACGAAAGCGUGGGGAGCAAACAGG